UACGUAGGUGGCAAGCGUUGUCCGGAUUUAUUGGGCGUAAAGGGAGCGCAGGCGGUGUCUUAAGUCUGAUGUAAAAGCCCACGGCUCAACCGUGGAGGGUCAUUGGAAACUGGGACACUUGAGUGCAGAAGAGGAAAGCGGAAUUCCAUGUGUAGCGGUGAAAUGCGUAGAUAUAUGGAGGAACACCAGUGGCGAAGGCGGCUUUCUGGUCUGUAACUGACGCUGGGGCUCGAAAGCGUGGGGAGCAAAC
rnacentral:rRNA from 1 species